CCUACGGGGUGCAGCAGUGAGGAAUAUUGGUCAAUGGGCGGAAGCCUGAACCAGCCAAGUCGCGUGAGGGAAUAAGGCCCUACGGGUCGUAAACCUCUUUUGCCGGGGAGCAAGGUCCGGGACGUGUCCCGUCCCGGAUGGUACCCAUAGAAAAAGCCUCGGCUAACUCCGUCCCAGCAGCCGCGGUAAUACGGAGGAUGCGAGCGUUAUCCGGUUUUAUUGGGUUGAAAGGGUGCGUAGGCGGGGUUUUAAGUCAGCGGUAAAAAGUCGGGGCGCAACCCCGUCCGGCCGUUGAAACUGGGGGCCUUGAGUGGGCGAGAAGAAGGCGGAAUGCGUGGUGUAGCGGUGAAAUGCAUAGAUAUCACGCAGAACCCCGAUUGCGAAGGCAGCCUGCCGGCGCCCGACUGACGCUGAGGCACGAAAGUGCGGGGAUCGAACAGGAUUAGAUACCCGAGUAGUC
rnacentral:rRNA from 1 species